CUGUAACUACUCCUCCCAGUCUUUACGCCCUGCUGCCAUACUGUGGACAAUCCUCUUCUGGAGGCUCAGUGACUGUUGGGUGUCUGGCCUCCAGCUACAGCCCCGAUCCCGCCAUCUUCACCUGGAGAUCAAAUACAAAUCCCAUCACUGACCAAGUCGAGACUUAUCCCUCAGUGCUCAACAAGAACGGUCUCUACACUCUGAGCAGCCAGUUAACAAUCGCUGAAUCCCAGCUGGGCAGCAUCUAUUGUAAGGUUGCACAUAAAAGCAAUACCUGGUCAGCCGUGGAAAUCGUCGUGCCAGAUCUCCCGUCACCGUUGCCCCCAGUUGUUAUCCUCACACAGUUUUCCCCGGAGGACAUCGCAAUGCACAAACCGACCACUGCUAUCUGCUUCAUAUACGGUUUCCGUCCGGACAGUCUCAGUGUUGAGUGGCUGAAGGACUGGCAGCCCAUACACUCAGGUGUUGUGACCUCUCCCUCGGUUGAAAACAAUGGGACAUUCAGCACCAGCAGCCGUCUGACUGUCACCGCCAGAGAGGGGAAGAGCGACUCGGUUUACACCUGCAAGGUGACCCAUCAGCCCUCCCACACCAUCACUGUCAAGAACAUCACCAAGUACCCAGAUUGUGCCGCCUGUUGAACCUGUCAAGGUCUCUUUCCUGCCGCCUUCACCGAAACAGGUUUUGAUGGAACCCAUUGUAACGCUGACAU